rnacentral:rRNA from 1 species
AACAAAAACAUGGCCCUUUGACGAUCAAAUUGGGUCGUACCUGCACAAUGGCCUCCCACAGGGGGUUAAAUUGCCGCGGUACCCUGACCGUGCAAAGGUAGCGAAAUAAUUUGCCUAUUAAUUGUUGGCCAGAUAUGAAUGGUGUGACGCUGGUGGCGCUGUCUCGUUGGCACUUAUUUGAAUUUGACCUCUGGGUGAAAAGGCCCAGAUAAAUCUGAAAGACGAUAAGACCCUAUCGAACUUUAAGUGGACCUGUUUCGGCGUCAGACCCGAAAACGAGCAAGCUUUUGGUUGGGAAAACCGGAGGUAAGAAAAACCACCUCCUCCCUUUGAGACACCCGUUAAUUAUGGGGUAAUAGAGACUUUACCCUAAGGGCAAUUGGCCUGAAGGACAGUAACCGAAUAGAGAACAAAAAGUCCGACAGGACAUAGUUAACUUAUCAAAUGAACCUAAAGACUUGCUGCUUAGCAGCAAGAAUCUAUUAACUAGGAAUAGUUACCGUAGGGAUAACAGCGUAAUCUUCCCGGCGAGACCACAUUAAUGGGAGGGUUUGCGACCUCGAUGUUGGCUUGGGACUUCCUAGAGGCGAAGAGGCUUCUAAGGGUUGGUCUGUUCGACCAUUAAAGUCCUACGUGAUCUG